GUCAUAAUUACACUUGUCUUCCACCACCACUACCCUGCAACUCAAUCUUAAGAAUCAGAGACAUCUCAGAUUAACACAGGUUCAAGACUCUGGAGCUGAAGAAGAAGAAGAAGAUGUGACUUCCCUUCAUGCCAUUUAUAACAGAAAGUUGGAAAGUGAUGAGGAGAAGAAGAUGAGUUUCCUGUGAACUGGCUGGAUGGCUGCAAUCCAAAGAAAAUGGAAUUCAGAAGAAAAUGAACUCAAUCAUCAUCUGAAUCAUGUAAAACUGCUAUAUAUGAGGUGGAGCAAAAAGGUUGGCUAUAGACUUUGGAGGAGGGCUCGUUUGCAGAGUGGUGUUUGUGAAUUGGUGCUUGGGUUGGGAAAGGGGGAAUCCGCUCCAAGAGUUUUGAGCAAGAAGCUCCUCUCCUGAAAAAUCCAACAUCAUAAGUGGUCAGUUGAAUCAUAUUAUUCUCUGCACUCAUAUUUUAUAAAUAUAUGAUACAUGUGCUAAUCAUUCUAUAAUCGACCGAGUAUCAUGACUUUAACAGUGAACUUGAAUAUGUUGCCGAAAAAGUAACAGCUAUAAGGCAAAAUAAAAGUACAGAUGAUCUUACAGUCUAUAAGGAAAUGAGAAACAACAAAGUUUUCCUAGUUUAGUGUCACAGGAACUUUUGAACUAGCUGAGCUAACUAUGUCAUCUGAUUUUCAAUAAAAUGUUGGUGCAUAUUGCAAAUGAAAGAUAAUUUUAGCACUUCAGAGCCCAAGCAACAUGUAAAUUUCCAUAACUCCUGGUUUUAGCAGAAGAAUUUUCUCUUUCUAAGACAUCUAGAAACAAAAAUGUAGGUUCUGCUCUAUCUUUUGGUAGGAUCAUCUGCAUAACACAUUUAACUUCUCCGGAUCUGCAGCUGCUAAUUAGCUGAUCUGAUUCUAAUGAUUCUACCGUCUUAGCAGCUGUUUAUCACUAAUAAACCCGGAAACUUCCAUUCAUGAAUUUGCUAGGAAAAUCUUUCCUAAAAUCCAGAGGUCAUUAUUACUGAAACCCCUUGCUCCAAUGAUUGUAAUUGGCUUCUUGAUUAGUUAACUAGAAGUCCUACAUAUGCUCCAAUAAAGUGAUCUCAGUAUCCUACUAGUGACUUGAUAAAAGACUCAAAGUGCUGUAACUGCAGACAUAACAAUUGAUAGACUAGCUACUCGUCAUAAUACUUCCACUUCGAAUUACUAGAGUUAAUAGUUGAACUACUUGCACUAAAAUUGUUGCUGCCUUGCUGGUGACAUAGCGUGGAUAACCUCACAAGUCUUACUAGUAGUGUUAAUACAAUUAAAGGAUGCUUCUAAUACUACUGCGACUCUAGCCAUUUCUGCUACCAUUAUAACAAAUAGCCAUUUGAUAAAGUUUAACUCCUAAAGGAACUUACACUGUCAGAAAACUUUGGGCUGGGAAUUCCUGCUGCCAAGGAUCUGAACAUUGGAGUAACUUGAAUAGGGGAACUGAACUCUGUACUCGACAAUGCAGAAACAACUGCAUCAUCGUUUGUUGCUUCAUCGCAAGAUGGAAGUAUCUCUGCUGCAAUAAGAGUAGAUAUGUAUCAGCAAAUGCAAUUCAGUAGAAAAGCCUGCUAAAUAUUUACAAGUAAAAGUUAUUUUCAAGCUUGAUAUCUUAUAUAAAAUCCAUUACCUUGCUUUCUAGUUCCAUUGGAAACAAUCCCUUUCUCAAGUUCGCCAAUAUUAUUUUGUUCUCCAAUGUGAAUUGUUUGCAACUCGUGUGGAAUGUCCUGAGUUAUUGUACCUAUUUCAGCUUCAAUCUGUUCCAUUUUAUAACACUCUGUUUGGGACAGAAGAGUUGACCCUGUACUGUAUUCAGAGCUUCCUGGAGACUCAUCAUAGAGAUCUGGUUGCCUACAAUGUGUAAGAUAUGAAUUAGAUGCUGUGGGUUAUUAACCUUGCUAAUAUCAGAAUAGAGGCCUAGAACACUUUUCUCACCGCCAUGAUGGUCGACCUCCCUCACUAGUACUCCGUAAGUCCUCUAAUAGAUAUUUAAGAUCUUCGAGUUGAAAAUCAAAAUCACUCAUUCCAUAGCUGAGGAUGUCACUCUCUUUGCUUUGAUUCAAGAAAUCUUGGAGAACCUGAAUAUCACAUUUGAUUUAUGUUAUAUGCACAGUUGCACAGUGGAGGGAAUUCAUUUACUAAGCACAGCUCAGCAGUCAUAAUAUGCAUAAUGAGGCCAGGCAAGCAAGAUAUCUAAAAAUGAAAAGUCAACAUUCAACAUUGAACCAUGUAUGAAAUUACUAGAGAUGGCAUCUGUUUGGUUGAUGUUGAGCAUUUUGUACUCAUUCGAUCACAAUUUUUAUGUGUCAUAUAUUACAUUAUGAUGAUAGCAUUUUCAGAACCAGGCAAUUGGAUGUUGAUAGCUGAACUCAGAACACAAAGGUGCAAGUAAUUCUCACCUUCCAAGCAUUUUCAAGACUCUGAUCUGUGUUAUCUGUAUUAACCUUCAUAGCCAAUGAGCUGAGCAACUCUGCUUGCUGCAUCAAAGCAGUUAUCUUUGGAUCAUCCUUCUUGAGAAAUGAGCCUUGAAACUUGUUAGUUUGUGCUGCUGAUAAAUGAAAGUUGUUUACACUGUGGAUAUUCUGAAUCAACACAGUAAAUGGAGCUCUUAGCUGCUGAUUAGUCUUUCCACAUUGCCCAUGUCGUCUGUCACCAUAGUUGCAAUUUUCCGAGAGACUAGGGAUAUGGCUCCUCCUGUGUUGCACUAAUAAUGAGUUCCACUACAUUUAAGUAAUAAUCAGAUCAACAUUUUGUACAUAUAGAUGCAACUUGUAACUCUACCUCAUCUUCUUAAGAGGUGAUGUAUUUUCUGAUGUUCCAUCUGUAUUGAAGCCAUUUCGGAUUAUGACCCUUUUGUCAUUCUGAUUCAUAUACGAAGAGGCAUUCUCUUUCGCUAAGGCCUCA